GGGUAGUAGAACAAUGGGAUUAUGCUGUCACAAAAACCAAAGGAAAAACAUAAUUUCUUAAAUCGUCGUCUGCCACUGAAUCUGGCUAUAAAACCUUAUCUUGCACUAAAAGGAUUUGUAGCUUUUCAGCUGAGAAUGGAUUCAGGAUACUGAAUCAACACAAGAAAAGAGAAACGGGAGAUGAAGAAAACUCAGCUACAUUUCCUAUAGGAAGGAGAGAUUUUAACACGCUCAGAUAUACGCUGGGAACAGUCUACCAACAUUGUUGGCAAGUCUGAUACCUGUUAGUUCACAUCAUCUUUUCAGAAAACAGAAAGGCAUUUAACUGCCAAUGGGAGGAGAAGCCCAUAAUGUUAAUAACUUGUGUAUUAUGUUAAUUGUCUGUUUUAAAAGAAAGUAGUGUUAAGAUAUGCUUUUUCUGUGCAUUAAACUUUGCGAAAAUUCUGCAUAAUUAUGACUUAAUAGUAUUUUUGAACAAUGCUUAACAUACUAACCUUACAUACACUCUAGACCAAAAUAAGAAAGCAUCUUAAUUUACACCUUGAUCUCUCAAAAAUUAAUCAUGUCUUUGGUGAAUGGUUUUAUAUAUACGUAUACCUAAAGCAUAUAAGACUUUGGCACCUGUGUUCUGUAAAGAGAAGGUUGAUUUGUUUUUUAGCUGUCGUAUUUGGAGUGGAACUAUAAUACAAAAGUAUAGUAUUCUUUUUUUUUUUUUUUGAGAUGGAGUCUCGCUCUGUCACCCAGGCCUGGAAUGCAAUGGCGCUAUCUUGGCUCACUGAAACAUCCGCCCCCUUGGCUCAAGCAGUUCCCUAUGUCAGUCUCCUGAGUAGCUGGGAUUACAGGUGCCCGCCACCAUGCUCAGCUAGUUUUUGUAUUUUUAGUAGAGGUGAGUUUCACCAUCUUGGCCAGGCUGGUCUUGAACUCCCGACCUUGUGAUCCACCUACCUCGGCUUCCCAAAGUGCUGGGAUUACAGACGUGCACCAUUGAGUCCAGCCUAUAUUCUUGUUUAUCAAUUCAAAGAUGCUCUGCACUGUUUUUGAAUCUUUAAAAAUAACUUAGAUGCAAAUUUAUUGCAGAAAAAAACAACUUUCAGGUAAGAGGUGUUCUCCAGGGUGGAAGAACUACUUGGCAUGUAAGAAAUAGUGGUCCUAAUGCAUAUUGUGACUGUUUGCAUAGAUUUCUGUUUGUAAAAUCAUCAGUUUUACUUUUCAGAUGAUUUGUAAGAAUCAUUUAAAUUUUCAUUGAAAUAAAUGAGAAGUCAUACUGCCACUUAAAAAAAAAAAGAAAGGAAGACCUUUGUUAAGGAGAGUGCAGUCAACCAGUAAAUUGCAGAUUCUCAGAACGUUUAUUGACGUACUAAUUAUUAAUUCCCUUAUACUCUAACAUCUGUAUAUUUUUACCAGUGUUCUCAGACCACUUCUACCAAAACGUAAAUCUGUGAUUGUGAUCUCUGAAAGUCAGUGCUUUUAUCUACUCAAUAACUGAUCUGAUAAUGUCAACUUUUGAAAACGGAUAGUUACGACUCAGGGCUUUGAGAAUGUAAAGAGACCACCUUUGCAUGUUGGGAAACGGUACGAUUUCACGUUGUCAAUGCAGUUCCCUUCUCGGGGGAAAGAAGCGUGAAACUGUCAGGAAGACAGGAUGAAGUGAUUUGCCUGAGGCCAUAUUGUCAAACAAGGAAUUCAUAUUCACCUUUCUGGAAUUCUUAGGAUAAUGAUUACAAGUGUUCAAUUGUUAAAAAUUGGCAGAUAAAAUUGUAUGUAUUUACCAUGUACAACAGAAAAUUUUGA